GACGUAGGGUCCGAGCGUUGUCCGGAGUUACUGGGCGUAAAGCGUGCGCAGGCGGUUGUGCAAGACAGAUGUGAAAUCCCCGGGCUCAACCUGGGAACUGCAUUUGUGACUGCACAGCUGGAGUGCGGCAGAGGGGGAUGGAAUUCCGCGUGUAGCAGUGAAAUGCGUAGAUAUGCGGAGGAACACCGAUGGCGAAGGCAAUCCCCUGGGCCUGCACUGACGCUCAUGCACGAAAGCGUGGGGAGC
rnacentral:rRNA from 1 species